CAUCACUACGCUAGAUGCAUAUCAAUAAGCGGAGGAAAAGAAACUAACAAGGAUUCCCCUAGUAACGGCGAGUGAAGCGGGAAGAGCUCAAAUUUGAAAUCUUAAAGGGUUUCCCUUUACGAAUUGUAGUUUAAAGAAGUGUUUUCUGUUGGAGUUUCGGUAAAAGUUCUUUGGAAUAGGACAUCAUAGAGGGUGAGAAUCCCGUAUUUGACCGUUACUUUCCAGCUGUGUGAUACACUUUCAAAGAGUCGGAUUGUUUGGGAAUGCAGUCCAAGAUGGGUGGUAAAUUUCAUCUAAAGCUAAAUAUUGGCGAGAGACCGAUAGCGAACAAGUACCGUGAGGGAAAGAUGAAAAGAACUUUGAAAAGAGAGUUAAACAGUACGUGAAAUUGUCAAAAGGGAAGCGUUUGACACCAGUGUUGUUUAGUUGAAAAUCAAUUCAAUAAUUUUUGAUUCUAAGUAGUAUUGACUUCAUCAGCUUGCUGCUUUCUUCUCAGAAAUUAUUGAAUGCACUCUUCAGUUAACAAGUCAACAUCAAUUUCUUUUGUUGUAAAAGGGUAAGAGGAAGGUGGCUUGCGCUUCGGCUCAAGUGUUUAUAGCCUUUUAUCUCUGCAAUCGGAGAGAUUGAGGUCUGCAGCGUAGAUCCUUCGGGGUUAGAUACAUUGGUGCUAAGCUAUAGCCUUGUAUAGACAACUUGUUGACUAUGCUCAGUCAUGUAGCUUACUCGCUGAUGCUAUUUUACCUACGCUUAGGAUGUUGAUAUGCAUGACUGAUAU
rnacentral:rRNA from 1 species